rnacentral:rRNA from 1 species
CCUACGGGUGGCAGCAGUAGGGAAUAUUGCUCAAUGGGGGAAACCCUGAAGCAGCAACGCCGCGUGGAGGAUGAAGGUUUUCGGAUUGUAAACUCCUUUUGUUAGAGAAGAAAAUGACGGUAUCUAACGAAUAAGCACCGGCUAACUCCGUGCCAGCAGCCGCGGUAAUACGGAGGGUGCAAGCGUUAGUCGGAAUCACUGGGCGUAAAGAGCGCGUAGGCGGGAUAGCAAGUCAGAUGUGAAAUCCUAGGGCUUAACCAUAGAACUGCUUUUGAAACUGUUAUUCUAGAGUAUAGGAGAGGUAGGAGGAAUUCUUGGUGUAGCGGUGAAAUGCGUAGAGAUCAAGAGGAAUACUCGUUGCGAAGGCGACCUGCUGGAACGUAACUGACGCUGAGGCACGAAAGCGUGGGUAUCGAACAGGAUUAGAUACCCGAGUAGUC